rnacentral:rRNA from 1 species
CAAGCAGCGGAGCAUGUGGUUUAAUUCGAAGCAACGCGAAGAACCUUACCAGGUCUUGACAUCCUCUGACCAUCUGAGAGAUCAGACUUUCCCCUUCGGGGACAGAGAGACAGGUGGUGCAUGGUUGUCGUCAGCUCGUGUCGUGAGAUGUUGGGUUAAGUCCCGCAACGAGCGCAACCCCUGUGGUUAGUUGCCAUCAUUUAGUUGGGCACUCUAAGCAGACUGCCGUGGAUAACACGGAGGAAGGUGGGGACGACGUCAAAUCAUCAUGCCCCUUAUGACCUGGGCUACACACGUGCUACAAUGGUCUGAACAGAGGGCUGCGAAACCGCGAGGUGAAGCUAAUCCCUUAAAACAGAUCUCAGUUCGGAUUGCAGGCUGCAACUCGCCUGCAUGAAGUUGGAGUUGCUAGUAAUCGCAGAUCAGAAUGCUGCGGUGAAUGCGUUCCCGGGUCUU